rnacentral:rRNA from 1 species
AGAACGAACGGACUGGCGGCAUGGAUUAGGCAUGCAAGUCGAACGGGAGCAGCAAUGCUCCAGUGGCGCAAGGGUGAGGAACACGUGAACAACCUGCCUUCGAGUUGGGGAUAGCUUCUGGAAACGGGAGAUAAUACCGAAUAACAUCACCGGACCGCAUGGUCUGAUGAUCAAAGCAGCAAUGCGCUUGAAGAGGGUUCGCGUCCCAUUAGCUAGUUGGUGAGGUAACGGCCCACCAAGGCGAUGAUGGGUAGCUGGUCUGAGAGGACGAUCAGCCACAUUGGGACUGAGAUACUGCCCAGACUCCUACGGGAGGCUGCAGUCGAGAAUUUUGGGCAAUGGACGAAAGUCUGACCCAGCAAAUGCCGCGUGCGGGAUGAAGGUCUUCGGAUUGUAAACCGCUGUCAAGAGGGACGAAACAUGACGGUACCUCUGGAGGAAGCCACGGCUAACUACGUGCCAGCAGCUGC